GUACUCACUUCAGCAGCACAAACACUAAAAUCGGAAUGAUACAGAGAAGAUUAGCAUGAAUGACAUGCAAAUUCGUGAAGCCUUCCGUAUUUUC
ensembl:snRNA RNU6-506P RNA, U6 small nuclear 506, pseudogene